rnacentral:misc_RNA from 1 species
AAAAAGAGAAUUGUGGAAUUAUAGCUUGAUAAUCUUCUCAAGCCAUGUAUUGUAUAUUUAUAUACAAUUACAGGAUCCUAUAAAGGAAGAUCUACAUAAUCAAGGAAUCCCUUGAUUAUAGGGAUUGAGUUAAUCCCCUAGUUUACAGAUAUACACAAUCCUAUUUUAACAAACUUAUUCAUGUGUCUACCAUUUCUUUUUGUACUAUAUUUAUUGAAUUUGGGUGAAAAGGUUAACAACUGAGAUUGUAAAGCAUUCCUUUUCAGUUUCUAGUUUGUGUUCUCCAGAAAUGCUGAAUCACAAACACCUAUAUGUGCAAAGCACACAUGUUGCUUCCUGCAGCUACAAUUGUCUUGCUCUGUAUCUACUGACAACUUUACAUGAAAAUAUUAAUAACUGGUUUCUAGAACAUUCAUUUUUUACUUUGUGAUUUUUGUUCUAUUUAUUUUUUAUGGAUGGGGAUGUGUG